rnacentral:rRNA from 12 species
AUGAAAUACCAUCCUGCGAGUGCCCGAUCUCUUCAGAUCUUGGAAGCUAAGCAGGGACAGGCUUAGUUAGUACUUGGAUGGGGUACCAGGGGCCACUAGACUCAGCCAUU